rnacentral:lncRNA from 1 species
CAUUUAAGGAGGUAGACCUAGGUUAAGGGAAAUAACUCUUAAAAUCAUCAGUACGUUUGUGUCAACCAUUUUCAUAAAUAUAUUCUAAGCUUCUAGGUUACAUAGAUUAAUUUCAAUCUGUUUCAGGUAAAUGCUUAAAAUACAUUGAUGAACUUGACUUUUACAAACGCUUAACUGAUUUAAAGAGUUAUCUCCCUGAACCAAGGUCUACCACCUUAACAAACAAAAAAAAA